rnacentral:rRNA from 1 species
UCCUACGGGAGGCAGCAGUGAGGAAUAUUGGUCAAUGGACGCAAGUCUGAACCAGCCAUGCCGCGUGCAGGAUGACUGCCCUAUGGGUUGUAAACUGCUUUUGUCGAGGAAUAAAUGUAGCUACGUGUAGUUAUUUGAAUGUACUCGAAGAAUAAGGAUCGGCUAACUCCGUGCCAGCAGCCGCGGUAAUA